rnacentral:rRNA from 1 species
GACGAACGCUGGCGGCGUGCUUAACACAUGCAAGUCGAACGGUAAGGCCCUACUUUUGUGGGGUACACGAGUGGCGAACGGGUGAGUAACACGUGGGUAACCUGCCCCUCACUUUGGGAUAACUUCGGGAAACUGGGGCUAAUACCGGAUACGACCGCCUCCUGCGUGUGGGGGGUUGGGAAUUUUUGGCGGUGGGGGGUGGGCUCGCGGCUUAUCAGCUUGUUGGUGGGGUGGUGGCUUACCAAGGCAGUGACGGGUAGCCGGCCUGAGAGGGUGAACGGCCACAUUGGGACUGAGACACGGCCCAGACUCCUACGGGAGGCAGCAGUGGGGAAUAUUGCACAAUGGGCGGAAGCCUGAUGCAGCGACGCCGCGUGGGGGAUGACGGCCUUCGGGUUGUAAACUGCUUUCGCCAUCGACGAAGGGUUACUGACGGUAAAUGGUGAAGAAGCACCGGCUAACUACGUG